rnacentral:rRNA from 1 species
GAUGAACGUUGGCGGUGUGCCUUAUGCAUGCAAGUCGAACGGGGAUAUGACUUUCGGGUUAUAUUCUAGUGGCGAACGGCUGAGUAACGCGUAAGUAACCUACCCUCGAGUGGGGAAUAACUUGUCGAAAGGCAAGCUAAUACCGCAUGAAGUAACCAAAAGAUAUGUUUAGUUACCAAAGUCUUCGGAUGCUCGAAGAGGGGCUUGCGUCUGAUUAGCUAGUUGGUGAGGUAAUGGCUCACCAAGGCGAUGAUCAGUAGCUGGUCUGAGAGGAUGGUCAGCCAGAUAGGGACUGAGACACGGCCCUGACUCCUACGGGAGGCAGCAGCAGGGAAUAUUGGACAAUGGGCGAAAGCCUGAUCCAGCGACACCGCGUGAGGGAAGAAGGCCUUCGGGUUGUAAACCUCUUUUCUCUGGGAAGAAAUCUGACGGUACCAGAGGAAUAAGCCUCGGCUAAUUACGUGCCAGCAGCCGCGGUAAAACGUGGGAGGCAAACGUUAUCCGGAUUUACUGGGCGUAAAGGGAGCGUAGGCGGUUCUUUAAGUCAGGUGUGAAAUCUCUUGACUCAAUCAAGAGAAGUCAUCUGGAACUGAGGGACUUGAGGGCAGCAGAAGGAAACGGAAUUUCCGGUGUAGCGGUGAAAUGCGUUGAUACCGGGAAGAACACCAGUGGCGAAGGCGGUUUCCUAGGCUGUUUCUGACGCUGAGGCUCGAAAGCGUGGGGAGCGAAGCGGAUUAGAUACCCGCGUAGUCCACGCCCUAAACGGUGGACACUAGAUAUCGGGAGUAUCGACCCUCCUCGUGUCGAAGCUAACGCUUUAAGUGUCCCGCCUGGGGACUACGACCGCAAGGUUA